rnacentral:lncRNA from 1 species
GGUCUUUUACGUCGGCCUUCGCGAGCGUUUGGUCGGGUGGUAGGAACAAUGGCGCUGUCUUCAGUGGCACAGUGGAGCAGCUCUGAAGAUGCAAAGUGAGGGUCGCUGUCUGCCCAUUGAUAGAGGCCAGAUUGUCUUGGAAGUUCCAAAGUUGCAACGAUUUCUUUAGUUGAAUCCAUGGACAUGAAACCCACAGAUAUAGAGGGUUGGCCCAGUGCAGUGGCUCACGCCUGUAAUCCCAGCACUUUGGGAGGCCAAGGCGGGUGGAUCACCUGAGGUCAGAAGCUUGAGACAAGCCUGGCCAACAUGGUAAAACCCCAUCUCUACUAAUAAUACAAAACAAUUUGCUGGGCAUGGUGGUGCACGCUUGUAAUCCAAGCUACUCCAGAGGCUGAGGCAGAAGAAUCGCUUGAAUCCGAGAGGCAAAGGUUGCAGUAAGCCCAGAUCACACCACUGCUCUCCAACCUGGGCAACAAGAGCAAAACUCCGUCAAAAAAAAAAAGAUAGAGGGUCAACUGUACACAUUAAACACUUCUAUCAACUAGUGAUAUCAGUCUUGUCCAUUGUAUUAUUGCCUAUCUUACUAAACAGUCAUAUUUCAGGAAGUACAAUAUACUCAAAAACUAUGUUAAUGUUCUUUGUAGAUUUAUGGUUAAUGGAUGAUUCAUAUAAUAGAAACUUAAAUUUAUUUGACCAUUCUAUUUAAUAUAGAAUAAAUACAACUAGCCAGGCAUGGUGGCUCAUGUCUAUAAUG